rnacentral:lncRNA from 1 species
CGAGAAGAACACAAAAGAAUUUGUUGACCCAGUUCGGUCCAAAUUGACCUAGUCUGGGGGAGAGAGCAGCCCUCCGAUCCACUAUAUGACGAGUAACGUUACAAAUAGAAAUCAAUGUGUUACAAGAAUAAGUCUCCCGCCUAAUUCUACCCAAAGUCCCAGCCUCUUCCCGUAACCAAGAGACUCAAUCCUAAUAGUGUUUCCCAAGGUGAAUCAACCCUCAAAACCUAGUGUUUGUUCCGAAGAGACAAACUCUA